UACGGAGGGUGCGAGCGUUGUCCGGAAUCACUGGGCGUAAAGGGCGCGUAGGUGGCGCAGUAAGUCAACGGUGAAAGCCCGGGGCUCAACCUCGGAAUUGCAUCCGAUACUACCAUGCUAGAGUACUGAAGAGGUGACUAGAAUUCUCGGUGUAGCAGUGAAAUGCGUAGAUAUCGAGAGGAAUACCAACGGCGAAGGCAGGUCACUGGGCAGUUACUGACACUGAGGCACGAAGGCCAGGGGAGCAAACGGG
rnacentral:rRNA from 1 species